rnacentral:lncRNA from 1 species
CCUCAAGUGCUCUCCUUCCCAACAGAUCUCCAAAAAUAAGAAGUAAAAAAAAAAGUGGGAAGAAGGUCUUACCUUUUUUUUCUUUCGUCUUUCCUUGUGUUUACAUUGAUUUUUCUUGUCUUUCCUUGUGUUUUCAUUGAUUUUUUCCAUCCACAGGAGUCUCAAUUGGGUGGGAGACUUCAAGUGGCUUUCUUUUCUUCUCGUUCUCCG